AUACGUAGGGGGCAAGCGUUAUCCGGAAUUACUGGGCGUAAAGGGUGCGUAGGUGGUUCAUCAAGUCCUGUGUGAAAGCCUGAGGCUCAACCUCAGCGAGCACGGGAAACUGGUGGACUUGAGUGCAGGAGAGGAAAGUGGAAUUCCUGGUGUAGCGGUGAAAUGCGUAGAUAUCAGGAGGAAUACCAGUGGCGAAGGCGACUUUCUGGACUGUAACUGACACUGAGGCACGAAAGCGUGGGGAGCAAACAGGAUUAGAUACCCUGGUAGUCCACGCCGUAAACGAUGAGUACUAGGUGUCGGCUGUUAAAGGUCGGUGCCGCAGCAAACGCAUUAAGUACUCCGCCUGGGAAGUACGUUCGCAAGAAUGAA
rnacentral:rRNA from 1 species